rnacentral:rRNA from 1 species
GGGAUUGCCUUAGUAACGGCGAGUGAAGCGGCAAAAGCUCAAAUUUGAAAUCUGGUACCUUCGGUGCCCGAGUUGUAAUUUGGAGAGGGCAACUUUGGGGCCGUUCCUUGUCUAUGUUCCUUGGAACAGGACGUCAUAGAGGGUGAGAAUCCCGUGUGGCGAGGAGUGCGGUUCUUUGUAAAGUGCCUUCGAAGAGUCGAGUUGUUUGGGAAUGCAGCUCUAAGUGGGUGGUAAAUUCCAUCUAAAGCUAAAUAUUGGCGAGAGACCGAUAGCGAACAAGUACAGUGAUGGAAAGAUGAAAAGAACUUUGAAAAGAGAGUGAAAAAGUACGUGAAAUUGUUGAAAGGGAAGGGCAUUUGAUCAGACAUGGUGUUUUGUGCCCUCUGCUCCUUGUGGGUAGGGGAAUCUCGCAUUUCACUGGGCCAGCAUCAGUUUUGGUGGCAGGAUAAAUCCAUAGGAAUGUAGCUUGCCUCGGUAAGUAUUAUAGCCUGUGGGAAUACUGCCAGCUGGGACUGAGGACUGCGACGUAAGUCAAGGAUGCUGGCAUAAUGGUUAUAUGCCGC